rnacentral:misc_RNA from 1 species
GAUGAAGAACGCAGCAAAAUGCGAUAAGUAAUGUGAAUUGCAGAAUUCAGUGAAUCAUCGAAUCUUUGAACGCACAUUGCGCCCGCUGGUAUUCCGGCGGGCAUGCCUGUUCGAGCGUCAUUUCAACCCUCAAGCCCCCGGGUUUGGUGUUGGGGAUCGGCUCUGCCCUUCUGGGCGGUGCCGCCCCCGAAAUACAUUGGCGGUCUCGCUGCAGCCUCCAUUGCGUAGUAGCUAACACCUCGCAACUGGAACGCGGCGCGGCCAUGCCGUAAAACCCCAACUUCUGAAUGUUGACCUCGGAUCAGGUAGGAGUACCCGCUGAACUUAAGCAUAUCAAUAAGCGGAGGA